GACUUCUUGGCUGCACCAGAAAUUUCCCUUGGUCAUUUUUGCUUUACUUCUUUGUUCUUAUUGGUUGCACCUUUAUCUCUUCUUUGACUUUCUCAAAGAAAGAAGACUCAAGAAACUCUUUUGCUCCCAUUUCCCACGGAUCCAUGCAAAUCAGAAAUUUGGACCUCACUUCACACUCUUUUCUCUUAAGGAAAGUGCUAGGAAGCUCCCUUGAGUCUUCCUCUCAAGUCCACCGGUUCACACACCAAAAGAAAGACAAAACUCCACCCAAAAGAAUCAGAAAUUUGGACCUCACUUUACACUCUUUUCUCUUAAGGAAAGUGCUAGGAAGCUCCCUUGAGUCUUCCUCUCAAGUCCACCGGUUCACACACCAAAAGAAAGACAAAACUCCACCCAAAAGUCUUCCCCUUAUCUCAUUUUCUUGGCUGCACCAGACAGAAAGUCCAGCAGCAAGAAGGAAGCUUCUUUCAACUCUCUCAAGCUCUCUACCUCUCAUACCUUCUGGUCCAGCCACUAGGAAAGGAAAAUCAUUUCAUGUGUUACCAGUAUCCAAGUCUAAGCUCCUUCGACUUUAGGCUCUCAGUUCUUCUGCUUUCAGUUAGCAGGUUUUAUUUUGGAGCAGAGGAAGCCUUAGCCGAGUUUUGGAAGGAGUUGGUUUUAGUUUUAUAUGUAUAGAUCCUAAAUUUAGCAAUAUGAUGUUUAGAUUUGUAGCAUUGUGUAUUUUAGGAUCUAAUGAGAGUGUAUAUCUUAAAGUAUCAAGAGAUGUAUUAUGUGAAAGUGUGGAAAUUAAAUGAUUGGUGGAUUAUGUUA